UACGAAGGGGGCUAGCGUUGCUCGGAAUCACUGGGCGUAAAGGGUGCGUAGGCGGGUCUUUAAGUCAGGGGUGAAAUCCUGGAGCUCAACUCCAGAACUGCCUUUGAUACUGAGGAUCUCGAGUUCGGGAGAGGUGAGUGGAACUGCGAGUGUAGAGGUGAAAUUCGUAGAUAUUCGCAAGAACACCAGUGGCGAAGGCGGCUCACUGGCCCGAUACUGACGCUGAGGACGAAGCGAUG
rnacentral:rRNA from 1 species